rnacentral:tRNA from 1 species
AAGGGAGACCUAAUUCAGGUAGGAGACGAAAAAAUAGUAGUCCCAACCAAGAAUCAAUCCCAAAAGGUCGGAGCGAGGCGAAAUUGGCUUUCAAACUAGGUUCUGGGUUCAAACAAGACCUGAAUCAGGAACAAGGGCUAUUAGCUCAGGUGGUUAGAGCGCACCCCUGAUAAGGGUGAGGUCCCUGGUUCGAGUCCAGGAUGGCCCACCUGCACAGGUGGCAAAAACAAAGAAGCGAGGAAUCAGCACCUUAUCUUAUCUAUAUAUAAGAGAGAAUGCUGGCUCUGAGUAAAGAGUCCAGAGGAACCUUGAAAACUGCAUAGAGCUAGGUGAAAAAGCCAAAAAAGAAGACCGCAA